UGAAGACAAAGUGAAAUCUGUUCUACAGCGUGCCCUUAUCUAUACUAUGGUUAUCAUCCUCAGCUUUGCCAAUGUAAAGUUCUUUGGAAUGCUUAGUAUCUUUUUGGUGGCCUGCAAGAGAAAAAGUGAUGGUUUCCAACCUUUAAAUUCAGAAGAUUGGCAGCCAGAAUGAUGGACAGUGACUUUCCUUGGUCUUACAUGAAUAAAAUGGACGUGGAAAAUAUGCCUUGCAAAGAAAAUGUUGGCCUGCUUUUCUCAAAAUGCCAAAGGAGAUUGUGAUCAUUUUCAAAAGUUGUAUUAAAUGUGAAAUAGCUUGGUUU